AUCUAUCGAACAUUUUAUCUUAUAUAUGAAGACUUAGUACAUAUAAUACCAUGAUCAUGUUUAGUAAAGAAAAAGUCUGAAUAUGUGAAUACUCUUCUGUUAUAAAAAAUUGAUGUAAAACUAUCUUUCUAAAGGAGAUUAACAUAGUCUUAAAUCGAAUUGGCCAUCAUUCUUUCUAAAUUUUGUUUUUGUGUCUUAUAUAGAGAACUAAUACCAUCGCAUUUAAAUAGAUUUCCUUCUUAAUUGUACAAUUUUAAAGUGCAUUUAACAGUGUCUUUUUCACCAUGCUGUAUCAAUUAUGAACCUUAAAACAAAAAAUGUUUUUUGUAAAAUGUACAUUUUUUUUUAUUGACCGUAAAGAUAUAUAUGUAUUGAAUGUAUGAAAUUUUUUUCGCGAAAUCAUUCGUAUAAAAUUUGUAUCAGAUUAUUUGUAUAAAACAUUUUGUCUAACACUCACAAUGAAUAUCUAACUGUUGCCUGAUCAUAACAAAUUCAUUUUUAAUAUUUAAAUUUAUACGUUUGAAUCAUACAAUGUAGCUUGACAUGCUGGAGUUUGCUAAAUGGCAGCGUAUUGUUGUUUUAACAAACUUUGUCAGCGGAAUAAAAGUAUCAAAUACUC
rnacentral:misc_RNA from 1 species